GAUGAAGAACGUAGCGAAAUGCGAUAAGUAAUGUGAAUUGCAGAAUUCAGUGAAUCAUCGAAUCUUUGAACGCACAUUGCGCCCGCCAGUAUUCUGGCGGGCAUGCCUGUUCGAGCGUCAUUUCAACCAUCAAGCCCCCGGGCUUGUGUUGGGGACCUGCGGCUGCCGCAGGCCCUGAAAAGCAGUGGCGGGCUCGCUGUCACACCGAGCGUAGUAGAUUUUAUCUCACUCAGGGCGUGCUGCGGGUUCCGGCCGUUAAACCACCUUCAUAACCCAAGGUUGACCUCGGAUCAGGUAGGAAGACCCGCUGAACUUAAGCAUAUCAAUAAGCGGAGGA
rnacentral:misc_RNA from 1 species